AAAACUUUUAACAACGGAUCUCUUGGUUCUGGCAUCGAUGAAGAACGCAGCGAAAUGCGAUAAGUAAUGUGAAUUGCAGAAUUCAGUGAAUCAUCGAAUCUUUGAACGCACAUUGCGCCCCUUGGUAUUCCGAGGGGCAUGCCUGUUCGAGCGUCAUUU
rnacentral:rRNA from 1 species